ACAAGUCUCCGUAGGUGAACCUGCGGAGGGAUCAUU
rnacentral:rRNA from 1 species